rnacentral:rRNA from 1 species
AUGCAAGUCGAACGGAAAGGCCCGCUUGCGGGUACUCGAGUGGCGAACGGGUGAGUAACACGUGGGUGAUCUGCCCUGCACUUCGGGAUAAGCCUGGGAAACUGGGUCUAAUACCGGAUAGGACCGCAUCGUAGGUGGUGUGGUGGAAAGAUUUAUCGGUGCAGGAUGAGCUCGCGGCCUAUCAGCUGGUUGGUGGGGUAAUGGCCUACCAAGGCGUCGACGGGUAGCCGGCCUGAGAGGGUGGACGGCCACAUUGGGACUGAGAUACGGCCCAGACUCCUACGGGAGGCAGCAGUGGGGAAUCUUGCACAAUGGGCGGAAGCCUGAUGCAGCGACGCCGCGUGGGGGAUGACGGCCUUCGGGUUGUAAACUCCUUUCGCCAGGGACGAAGCCGUGAGGUGACGGUACCUGGAUAAGAAGCACCGGCUAACUACGUGCCAGCAGCCGCGGUAAUACGUAGGGUGCGAGCGUUGUCCGGAAUUACUGGGCGUAAAGAGCUCGUAGGUGGUUUGUCGCGUCGUCUGUGAAAUUCCGGGGCUUAACUCCGGGCGUGCAGGCGAUAC